rnacentral:rRNA from 1 species
ACGGGAGGCAGCAGUGGGGAAUAUUGGACAAUGGAGGAAACUCUGAUCCAGCGACGCCGCGUGAGUGAAGAAGUAUUUCGGUAUGUAAAGCUCUAUCAGCAGGGAAGAUAAUGACGGUACCUGACUAAGAAGCCCCGGCUAACUACGUGCCAGCAGCCGCGGUAACACGUAGGGGGCAAGCGUUAUCCGGAUUUACUGGGUGUAAAGGGAGCGUAGACGGCAUGGCGAGUCUGAUGUGAAAACCCGGGGCUCAACCCCGGGACUGCAUUGGAAACUGUCAGGCUAGAGUGCAGGAGAGGUAAGUGGAAUUCCUAGUGUAGCGGUGAAAUGCGUAGAUAUUAGGAGGAACACCAGUGGCGAAGGCGGCUUACUGGACUGUAACUGACGUUGAGGCUCGAAAGCGUGGGGAGCAAACAGGAUUAGAUACCCUGGUA